CCACCAUCCCUCACUCUGCUCUUCAGAACUGCAAGACAACAAUGACAGGCCACGGUUUGCAGCCACCAGCAUGGUGGGACUUCUGUGCCGGCCCUGGGGUGUAAUCCACCUAUCUGACACAUACCCUGUCUCUCUGCUCUCUAGAAGGUAAGGCCACCAGCCCUCGGCUUCCAGACAGCACACACAGCAGCUGCUGCUCCUUGCAAAUAACCCCUCCUUGCUGAACCCUGAGCUCCUGGCAGAGCCUCCAAUAGGGAACUUGAGAGCAGCUUUGCUGGCCUUGGAUCAGAAAACCCAGCCUGGUGAAAUCAGAUGGCCACGGUCCUGGACCAAGAGCUGGAGGACCUGCCAGUGGAAACAAUCUCACACAAUCCUGUUAAGCACACACCACCAAGGAAUGGCGGGCCUCGGGACGGGGCUGCUUCCCCCCGGCCCUGCCCAGCCGAGCAGAUGGCGGCGUGGGCGGUAGGUACCAGCCUCCUGGCAAUCCGAACAUCUGUUCCCGUUAGAAAAUGCUAAUUGCCAUCAAUCAGGACAGCACCUACCCACAUUUACAUGCAAGCGCACAUGCAAAAAAAAAAAAA
ensembl:lincRNA Gm11750 predicted gene 11750